UUUUGGGAGUAAUGACCUCUUCACAGGGCUUGCCUAAGACCAUCAGAAAACACAGAUAUUUACAUUAUGAUUCGUAGCAGGAACAAAAUUACAGUUAUAAAGUAGCAACGAAGUAACUUUAUGGUCGAGGGUCACCACAACAUGAAGAACUGUAUUAAAAGGUUGCAGCUUUGGGAAGGGUCUGGUCUGGAUCCUGGUACUCACAUGGCUGGCUUCCAUUUGGAGAAGCAGUUAUUUUCCUUUUUCAUAGCUAGAAUUAACUGAUACCUUCUCCUAGCCAAUCCUAGCUAACAUUUUAGUUAGAUCAAAACAACUAUAAUUAAAGCAUAAAUUUGUAGAAAUAAAUAUAAAGCUCUGUGACACUAGAGUUAUUAGAUGCCAGUUAGUAUAAAACCAUCAUUUUUUAAGGCAUUGGGACCAGUCAGGCCAAUGACUCACGCAAGGUCACUGUCUCAUUUGAAGCUAUGAUAUUUUAGUUUAUGGAAGUGACCAGAACUCAACACAGAGAGGUCCUCUGAAAUAAAAGAAUGUAUUUCUCGACUUUUCUAAGGAGGAGAGAUACAUCAUGCUCCACAGAGCCAAGGAGAAUAUUAGAGUUGGGUCAGGAGGCAUAAGUAAUGAAAUAGAGAAGUUUGUGUCAUAUUCUUUAUUGGAGAUACUGGAAAAGAAACAGGGCACAAUGCAGGGCGCAGUUGAGACUUCCUAAACUGAAGAAGUCUACCAGACUUUGUAUAUAUGGAUGGUCUUUAAGGAUCUAGCUUUAAGAAGAGUUAGGAAGAGUUAGGGCAAGGGAAAUGGUGUAUGAGAGUAUGGUGUUUGAGAGUAAUGAAGACAGUGGUUGGGCACUGGGCUCAGUGAGAGUUAGUUUGAACACUUUGUUAAGAAGCAGUUAACCUUCCCUGUGGUCAGGAUUUUAAGUAUGUCAGAAUACCAUAAUAUGCAGUAAACAAAAUUUAGUUAGUAAAGCUAGCUGUUGCUCAACCUUAUAGAUGUUGAUUCAUUCCUCCCCUGGCAUCCCUGAGGGGUCAGACAAAUGGAAAUUCAUCAUUCUU